CACGUAGUUAGCCGGGGCUUCUUCUGCAGGUACCGUCACCUCAGUGUCCCGAGGCUUCUUCCCUGCUGAAAGAGGUUUACGACCCGAAGGCCUUCAUCCCUCACGCGGCAUCGCUGCAUCAGGCUUGCGCCGAUUGUGCAAGAUUCCCGA
rnacentral:rRNA from 1 species